UCUCCAGCCCACAAGAUCUUAUUAUAUGCUGUUAAAUGUAAAGUAACUUUCUGCAGACGAGGAGGCGUCUGUGGAGACUGAUGAGUGGCCGCAUCAAUAGAACCCUAUUUGAACAGCUCCAUUUUAAAUGAGAUGGACUGAAAACUUUCAGAGACUUUGUCCCCCUUACUCUUAAACAACCAAUAAACCACCUCACAAACACAUAUAGUUGUGUAAACUCACUUGUAAUCUGAUGUGUUUUGUACAGUAAACUUUGACCUAAUCUUUGACAGGAUGAAAAAGUAUAUGAAUGAAUGAAUGUCCAUUUCCUGGAAACUUUACAAAGCUUCAGUCACCUUUCAGCUGGGAGGUUUAUGGUUAUAGUAUGAGGUAGUAUGAGACCCUCAGUAAAGGAAAAAUUAUAUUAGAGCUUUAUUCCACUGACAGAUUAAAACUCAUCAGUAGAAGAAAGGGUUGAAUAGAGCAGAGUAGAGGGAAGCACUGGUCAGCCCAGUACAGACACUCUGCUGAGGGUCCCUCUCUUGGGACCACCAAGUGUGGCUUCAACAGAGGACUCAAAAGAGAAAGGUGGUAAAUGUUCUGCCUUGGGGAACUCGAUUAUUAGGGCAAUGGAAGCCUGUAUCUCAGCAGUACUCCUGUCAAACCUGGUCUGAGCAAAACACCAAAACAGAUGGACUUGAACCAAGAUCUAGGGGAGUACAGACAGAAGCCAGAUGGCCUCCAGAUGGAGGAAGCAAAAAAUACCAACCUCAGAACUGGCUGUGUUUUGAUUCGGAGAUUAGCAAGAACCUUCUUCCCCACACAGGAGACUCGUCGGGCAGGGGACAGAGAACUGACAGUUUGUUCUAGUUCACUAAACACCGGCUCUACUCCAGCCAGCUCUGGGCUAAUCUUUAUUUGGUUAGAACAUUUCUGCAAGUUUUUGAGAAGCAAAUGUUACCUUCGAAUGCCCGGAGGGCGGACAUAGACUUUUCGUUACCCACCAUUCUCCACUGUCUGAUUUACCUGCCCUCCACACAUUCAGAUUAUGUGUGGUCUUGAAUUCUGGCUCAAGAAACUGGAAUCAACCUAGAUGUCCUUCAACUGACGAAUGGAUAAAGAAAAAUGUGGUAUAUCUGCAUUCAUCUAUAUUCAACUAUGAAAAACACCGGCACCACGAAUUUUGUAGGCAAAUGUAUGGAUCUUAAGAAUAUCACACUGAGUGAGGUAACCCAGUCUCAAAGGAACAUGCAUGAGUUCAAGUCUUGGAACCCACAUUGGCUGGCUCACAACCACCUGUAACUCUGAAGAGAUAUUGGAAAACAAAUAUACAAUCACAAAACUUAAGGCUGGGAUCCUCACAAUACCUUACUUGAAAAAAUACUGGAAAGUUACAGUAAGCUAAACAGCCUGGUACUGGCACAAAAAACAAAAAACAAAAAACAAAUAAACAAACAAAAACCAAACAGAUACACAAAUCAAUGGAAUAGAACUGAGAACCAGAAGGAAUAUAUAUUUAUGCACCCAACUGAUUUUGUUUGUCACAUGCAUACAUUUAUUUGCUUGUUUGUUUGCAUGCCUCUGCAUGUGCUUAUGUCAUGUGCAAACGUGCAUAGCUUGGUCCCUAGUUGUUGACAUUUUCAGAGGGAGGCUUAGAAGAUGUGGCCUUUUUGGAGAAGUAUGUCACAGGAGGUGAGCUUUGAGAGUUUAAAACCUCUCAUCGGUUUCCAUUCACUCUGUCUCAUGCUUGCAGUUCAAGCUAUGAACCCUCAGCUUCCUGCUCCUGCCUUGAUGCUUCACACCACCAUCGUGGAUUCACCCCUCUCAGACCAUGAGCCCAAAUAAACCCUUCCUUCUCCAA
rnacentral:sRNA from 1 species